GCCGAUAUUGUGCAAAUUUCUCAUUGAUGAAAUAUUUGAUCUCAGGACAGUUUUCUGUAACCAAAACUAGAAUAUGUUAUGAACAGAGUGGACUGCGUUUUGUAGACUUUAACCUUUGCCAAAGUUGUACAAAAUUGCGUGGUUUAGAAGGAGCGCAAAGGUGAAUUUAGUUAUUGCACACUUCAGAGUAGGAAGUUCCUAACGGAAAUAUGCAUAUUAUUGCUAGAACGGGCUAAUAUAAUCUCGCUAGCUCGUGCUUGGCUCUGCCCACUCUGACUAAUUUGUUCCGAUUGGAAACGACAGGCUGUGGUCUAUCUUGGUUUAGUUAUAAAAGUAUUUGGUUGUACUGCACCAGAGUGCCAUUUUUUAAAAUAUAUUACCAAAGUUUAGCAUGUCUUUACAAGGGGAAUGCCGGGCAUAAUAUCCCGUUGCUAGGAGAACGGUAAUGUCAGGACUGCAGUGUGAAAGCAAAGAGUUUUAUACCUAACCCAUUGUGCUAACUUAGUUAGCUAGAAUCUUGUUGCAGAUAAUGAUAGCUAGCUAAAUUAGCUUGAGGCUAUAAACACGUUCAUAUAGCGAUACAAGGAAUGUUUUUAUCUAACCGUGGAAGACAUAAAUCCCAUUUCACAAUUCAUUAACGUUACCUGUUAAAAAUGAGACCCGAUCCAAUUGAUUUAGAGCAAUUGUCGAUGUACUCUGAAGCGGAGCAAGCAUGGACUCGUUCUACGCCGGAAGUAUCAACCGGAAGAAGUUAGCAGCGCGAAUGUUAAUGAGAGCUGUUACCUAGCAACGGAACACAUGCGUAAUAUUUUUACAGCCAGGGCUGAGCAUCUUUGGAGGGUCAGAGACAAAACAUGACUAAACAACAAGACCCAGAGGACGAUGAAGAAAUCCUGAGCACGUUUGAAAAGUUUGUUCGGAAUCAGGGACUGGUUGACUGGCCCGUUGCGUUUGAGGAGAAUAUAGAGAUAUCAUCCCACUUCAAACAUUACAGUCAUCUCAGACUACUAUGACUACUUUAAAGUAAACGUGCCGUUCCCAGUGGAGGUCACCAUGUCCUUCUCCAAGAGCAUAGAGGAGCUAUAUUCCAAGAUAAAACUACAUGCAUCCAUAAUGUCACAAGAACAGAGCAAAAACAAGAAUGCGGAGUCAGUGUUUGAUGAUAUGAAUAAAUAUAAAAUGUAUGUGCAAAGAGCACAUCGAAUCAUGAAAGAGCAGAGUGAGGCAGUGUCACGGAGCUUGGACAUCAAGGACUAUGACUACCCAGGGUUUGAUGCAGUCGAGGACACUGACAUCCCAGGACAUCCUGAUGCCUUACAGCGUCUGAGGCCCAAGGCUUUAAUCCAGGCUUCCUGAAGAUCUGGAGGCCGUUCUUUCUGUGUGAUCUGUCCUUGGCUGUUCUCAAAGACACAUUCUGGUGGUUCUUCCUCCACAGAUUUAAGCCUAAUGUGGAGGAGGAGAGCCAGUUGUUUGAUCGGCUCUCUGGAGCCUUUGUCUCUCUGCUGAUGACCGUUCAGAUGGACCUGAAGGACAAGCUCUUUAAGGUGUAUGCAGACUGCCUGGCCCAGGCGGUCUACGCAGCUUUCUACGGAGCGUUCCCCAUAGUCCAUGGAACGUCUAGGCCAUGACUUCAAGACAGACCUGACUGACCUCAUCUCCCUCUGGGUGUCAGGUGUGAAGCUCACCCUGUUGUCAUGGCAGAGCAGGAACCUGGGCUGGCUGGAUCCUGUAGACACGUCCGGGAAGAGCCAUGGAGAGUCAGCAUGUGACCAUUUCCGGAGACCUUCUCCCCUACCUCACCUCGCUCAUCAACGCAU